rnacentral:SRP_RNA from 1 species
GACGGUGGACCCCCGCGGCGUCCACCCUGUGAACCUCCCCAGGGCCGGAAGGCAGCAAGGAUAAGCAGGCUCUGACGGGUGCGGGGGUCCCCUUUUUCGCCA